ensembl:lincRNA
CAAUAAACCAAGCAACACCCAUUAAGAAAAGGGUUAUAUAUUUUGUAUAGGCUAAAAUUAAUGUGAUUCAAUGUGUUAUGGAAGUUGCAACGAUUCUUCCCUUCCAUAUUCACUUAGGCAAAUUUGAUGAGUGUUCCAAAGAAGACUAUUCUCUGUGUCUGCGACUUAAGUGCUUUUGAGAGACAGGACUAGCUGGAUUUCCUAGGCCGAUUAAGAAUCCCUAAGCCUAGCCGGGAAGGUGACCGCAUCCGCCUUUAAACACGGGGUUUGCAACUUAGCUCACACCCAAGCAAUCAGGGAGUAAAGAGAGCUCACUAAAAUGCUAAUUAGGCAAAAACAGGAGGUAAAGAAAUAGCUGAUCAUCUAUUGUCUGAGAGCACAGCAGGAGGGACAAUGAUAGGGAUAUAAACCCAGGCAUUCGAGCCAGCAACGACAGCCCCUUUUGGGUCCCCUCCCUUUGUAUGGGAGCUCUGUUUUCACUCUGUUAAAUCUUGCAACUGCACUCUCUGGUCUGUGUUUGUUACAGCUCAAGCUGAGCUUUUGCUCGCCAUCCACCACUGGGGUUUGCCGCCGUCGCAGACAGAGACCCGCCACUGACUUCCAUCUCUCCUGAUCCAGCAGGGUGUCCACUGUGCUCCUGAUCCAGCGAGGCGCCCAUUGCCGCUCCUGAUCCGGCUAGAGGCUUGCCGUUGUUCCUGCACAGCUGAGUGCCCAGGUUCGUCCUAAUCGAGCUGAACAGUAGUCACUGGGUUCCACGGUUCUCUUCUGUGACCCACGGCUUCUAAUAGAGCUAUAACACUCACCUCAUGGCCCAAGAUUCCAUUCCUUGGAAUCUGUGAGGCCAAGAACCCCACCUCAGAGAACACGAGGCUUGUCACCAUCUUGAAAGCUGCCUGCCGCCAUUUUGGAAGCAGCCCACCACCCUCUUGGGAGCUCUGGGAGCAAGGACCCCCAGUAACACUUCCACAUGGCACCAUGGGUCACCUGAAUCCUGAGUUUUUAUUAGAGCUAGUCAGGAACCGGGUAGAUGAUCUGGACAUACUUGUUUCAUUAUUAAGAUACUUUGGAACUACUUUAAAAGGAUGAGGCAAGUAGGUAAGUAUAAACUGUAAUUUAUUUGAGAUCCUCACUAGUGAAACUUUAGGGCUACAAGGUUAUUCUUAAUAUUCUUAAAUUUAAAAAAAUUAAAACCUAUUUUAGGUGCAUGAAAAAGAGUAAUAUCUAACUGGGUUGGCUGUGUCCCCACCCAAAUCUCAUCUUGAAUUGUAGCUCCCAUAAUCCCCACAUGUCAUGGGAAGGACCCAGUGGAAGGUAAUUUAAUCACAGAGGCGGAUUUUUCCCAUGCUGGUCUCAGGAUAGUGAAUAAGUCUCAUGAGAUCUGAUGGUUUUAUAAAGGGUAGUUCCCCUGCACAUGCUCUCUUACCUGUCACCAUGUAAGAUGUGCCUUUGCUCCUGCUUUGCUUGCUGCCAUGAUUGUGAGGUCCCCUCAGGCAUGUAGAACUGUGAAUCCAUUAAACUUCUUUUUCUUUAUGAAUCACCCAGUCUUGGGUAUUUCUUCAUAGCAGUAUGAAAAUGGACUAAUAACCUAUCAGAGAGUUUAUUAAUAUGCUAUAAAUGAGUUACUUUUUAAGUAAAUGUUAACCAUUAA